AUGGCACUUCCGUGUACUCGGCACGUCUGUGUACACGGCACUUCCGUGUACUCGGCACGUCUGUGUACUCGGCACUUCCGUGUACAUGGCACUUCCGUGUACUCGGCACGUCUGUGUACUCGGCACGUCUGUGUACUCGGCACUUCCGUGUACUCGGCACGUCUGUGUACUCGGCACGUCUGUGUACUCGGCACGUCUGUGUACUCGGCACGUCUGUGUACACGGCACUUCCGUGUACUCGGCACGUCUGUGUACUCGGCACUUCCGUGUACAUGGCACUUCCGUGUACUCGGCACGUCUGUGUACUCGGCACGUCUGUGUACUCGGCACGUCUGUGUACUCGGCACGUCUGUGUACACGGCACUUCCGUGUACUCGGCACGUCUGUGUACUCGGCACUUCUGUGUACAUGGCACUUCCGUGUACUCGGCACGUCUGUGUACUCGGCACGUCUGUGUACUCGGCACUUCCGUGUACUCGGCACGUCUGUGUACUCGGCACGUCUGUGUACUCGGCACGUCUGUGUACUCGGCACUUCCGUGUACUCGGCACGUCUGUGUACUCGGCACGUCUGUGUACUCGGCACGUCUGUGUACACGGCACUUCCGUGUACUCGGCACGUCUGUGGACUCGGCACUUCCGUGUACAUGGCACUUCCGUGUACUCGGCACGUCUGUGUACUCGGCACGUCUGUGUACUCGGCACGUCCGUGUACUCGGCACGUCCGUGUACACGGCGCUUCCGUGUACUCGGCACGUCUGUGUACUCGGCACGUCUGUGUACUCGGCACGUCUGUGUACUCGGCACGUCUGUGUACACGGCGCUUCCGUGUACUCGGCACGUCUGUGUACUCGGCGCUUCCGUGUACUCGGCACGUCUGUGUACUCGGCACGUCUGUGUACUCGGCACGUCUGUGUACUCGGCACGUCUGUGUACUCGGCACGUCUGUGUACUCGGCACUUCUGUGUACUCGGCACGUCUGUGUACUCGGCACUUCCGUGUACAUGGCACUUCCGUGUACUCGGCACGUCUGUGUACUCGGCACGUCUGUGUACUCGGCACGUCUGUGUACUCGGCACGUCUGUGUACACGGCGCUUCCGUGUACUCGGCACGUCUGUGUACUCGGCGCUUCUGUGUACUCGGCACGUCUGUGUACUCGGCACGUCUGUGUACUCGGCGCUUCUGUGUACACGGCACGUCUGUGUACUCGGCACGUCUGUGUACACUGCACUUCCGUGUACUCGGCACGUCUGUGUACUCGGCACUUCUGUGUACUCGGCACGUCUGUGUACUCGGCACUUCUGUGUACUCGGCACGUCUGUGUACUCGGCACGUCUGUGUACACGGCACUUCUGUGUACUCGGCACUUCUGUGUACUCGGCACUUCUGUGUACUCGGCACGUCUGUGUACUCGGCACGUCUGUGUACACGGCACUUCUGUGUACUCGGCACGUCUGUGUACUCGGCACUUCUGUGUACACGGCACGUCUGUGUACACUGCACUUCCGUGUACUCGGCACGUCUGUGUACUCGGCACUUCUGUGUACACGGCACGUCUGUGUACUCGUCACGUCCGUGUACUCGGCACGUCUGUGUACUCGGCACUUCUGUGUACUCGGCACUUCUGUGUACACGGCACGUCUGUGUACACUGCACUUCCGUGUACUCGGCACGUCUGUGUACUCGGCACUUCUGUGUACACGGCACGUCUGUGUACUCGGCACGUCCGUGUACUCGGCACUUCCGUGUACUCGGCACGUCUGUGUACUCGACACGUCUGUGUACUCGACACGUCUGUGUACUCGACACGUCUGUGUACUCGGCACGUCUGUGUACACGGCACUUCUGUGUACUCGGCACUUCUGUGUACUCGACACGUCUGUGUACUCGGCACGUCUGUGUACACGGCACUUCUGUGUACUCGGCACGUCCGUGUACACGGCACGUCUGUGUACACGGCACUUCCGUGUACACGGCACGUCUGUGUACACGGCACUUCCGUGUACUCGGCACGUCUGUGUACACGGCACGUCUGUGUACUGUGUACUCGGCACUUCCGUGUACACGGCACUUCUAUGUACACGGCACGUCUGUGUACUCGGCACUGUUCUGAAGGAUUUACAUGUACGAAGUAGCUGUAGCCUCAUAACAACCCUACUGGGGAGGUACAGUCAUUGA
ensembl:lncRNA